AAUAUACCAUUUGGAGCUCUUUAUAAACUCUUCCUGUGAGUGCAGAACUCUCUUUUUCCUGCAGGUGCUAUGCGCUCUGGGAAGGAUCACUUGUUCUAUGACAUCAAAGCAGAUCUGGAAGUCUUCGAAUAUUACGAGAUAAACAUGAGUCAAUUGUGUGGUGUGACAGCUAAAAUGGCAAUGCAACUAUGGGCUGCAUCAGCAAGAAUCCAGACAGAAGAAGAUGCAGGGAAAGUGGAUGGAUUGCUUCGUGACUAGAAAGAAGAGUUUACCUGAUUUCCUAGUUUGCAGAGGAAGCAUCCAUAACUACGGCAGCAGAUAAAACAUUUGUUUCUACCCACACAUAUCAAAUGGCAAAUCAAAGCUAUUUUGGGCACAGAGGUUAAAAAAAACUGGAGCAACCCACAAGCUGCUCUCCAUAUACUUGGUCGUAAAUUCCUUACGAAGAACAUAAAUAAAUAAUUAACAAUCUGGUUCCCUUUCAUCAUCCCCAACAUAGUUGCUUGAGGUAGCUACCUAACUCUUCCUAUUGAUAGAGCUGGCCAUUGAAAAUAAGAUAUCAUGGUAGCACAAUAGUGACAAAUCCGUGUUGAAAGAAAAGAAGCUAACAGUACAGUUAAGAAUUCUGUAAACGAUCAACAUUCACUGAAACUUUUCAUUGACUUGGACAAGCUGGCCUUCCCCAUAUAUGGUCCUCUUCACUGCUAUUUCUGCUUAGAGUGCCAUUUCUCACCUGUUGUUUACAAUGCCUCUUUGUGUGAGGAGACAAUAAAGAAUACAUCCUUCUUUUAUAACUUAUUUACCAAACUUAACUGUGAAAUCCUUACCCUGAUGGGCAAUGAGCAGCAUUUAAAGACGCACAUGCUUCAUUUUGCCAAGGUGUUUCUCCUGCAAAAUAAAACAGACAUGUAACAUUUAUAUUUUAAAUGCAGACAUUUAAAUUGGGUGGAGAUAUAGGAGGCUUCCCAGUGCAUUUAUAUAGGAGGCUUCCAGGUGCAUUUAAGGCCCUUCCACACAGCCAUAUAAUCCAGAAUAUCAAGGCAGAUAAUCCACAAUAUCGGCUGGGUUAUCUAAGUACACACUGCCAUAUAAUCUGGUUCAAUGUGGAUUUCAUGGGGCCCCAGUUUCUCUCUACAUCUGGAGGGUGAUAAGAUUGGUGAAAAAGGGAAGGCAUAACUGGUACACUAAUCCCAAUUCUUAUCCUCAGAUACAGAGUCUACGCUCUUUCCCCAAAGAAGGCCAAACAUUAUCUUUCCAUGUUUCUAAUUAACUGUCUGAUACAAAACUCCCUCCUAUAUGGUCAGACUUACACAUUUGCAAAUUGGAAGUAGAUUCAUUUUCACAAACAAGUUAUAGUAUGACUCCCAUAUCCACAGAGAAUAUAUUCCAGAACUUUGCACGGAUAUGUAAAACCAUGGACUUCUGGCCCAAGAAUACCAUAGAGUUGUUCUGGAGGACUUAGAAAAUGCCUACAGGGGAUACAUUUUGUUGGACAUGACUAAAUGAAACCAUAGGUGCCAGCUCCAUGGAUAUAGGGGUUGUACUGCACUUCCAUUUGGGGAUUCAGGAACAUGACAGAAACGG